GCUGAUCGUUUCAUGAGAACCCGUCCUUGAUAGAAAGAAACACACAAAAACAUACACCGUCGAUUCACGAUAGACGCCUCACCGUUCAUUCACGAUAGAUAAAGCUAAAUAAAGAUAAAUAAGGCUACAUUCCCAAACAAAAUUGUGUUUUUUUUCCAUCGAAUGUUAAAGUCGAUAAAAUUGCCACUGCUUGAGAAGUGGACGCGUUAGAGUCGGAAUCAAUUGUUUACCAGUUGCUGUCACAAUGGGAAAAGGAGCAAAUGUUGGAACAAGUCUUGAUUUCGUUUGCAUCGCGUGCUUUAUAUGAGACGUCCGAUUUUCAGAAAAGCGAAGAGAAAUAUUCCAUCGCAUUCCAUUGAACGUGAGAAGAGAAGAAAAGAAAAUGUGAUUCUGUCGAAAUUAAUUCGAAGGAAUUGACCAUUGACAAUUUCACAUUCUUUAAAAAACCUAUUAAACUCAACGAUUCUGAAAAGGAAGUUAUUCGAGAUGUUAAAAGAAAGUGAGAUGCUUCUACCUCAGUGGAUUACAAAUGCGAGAAGAAACAACUGAUUGAGAAGACUAUACAGUCAAAACUCAAAGUGACAACUUGAUAAUAAUCGAGCGACUACAGGACUGAGGAGAAGGAGAAAGAAAAUAAAUUUUUAUAUUUAUAUGUAUAUUUGUAAGGCAUCGAGCUCCAUGGUCAGUUCGCGGAUUUACAAUCCGCGGAUCCAAGUUUGAUACUGCUCGCGCCUAAUGUAUGUGUUUGUAAAUCGUCCCUGCCUUAAACGAUGUUGGUUGUCUAAUUAUUACAUCAAUAUAUAGUAUCAACAUGAGAAUUUUAGUUAACAAAGCGUUUUUCCCUGAUGAAACUUCCCUGAUGAAAAUAAAAAUC